UGCAGAGCUGAGCUAGCUGGGAAAUGCCUAUUGCAGGUCAGACAUCUCGGGUGGGGUUGGACAUGCCCCUCCAGGAGACGAGUCAAGCCCUCAUCCUGGUGCUGCACUGCUGAGGAUCCCUGGUGAUCAAGCGGCAGUGUCAGGGGCUGAGGCUGGGGCAGGCUGCUCUCUCUGUCUCCGCCAGAGGCACUGUUGUGUCACAACUACCAGAGCAGUCCCUCUGAAGCCCCAAAGCCAGACCCAGAGGCCUGCCUGGGAGUGGGACUGAGAGCAGUGGCUCUGAGCAGAAGAUGGAGAUGGUCAAGGUAGGGCCCUGGGGCCAGACACCCAAGGCCCCACAUCGAGGGUUGCAAUCUUGUCAUCCAUAACUCUUAUAAGAAUGAGCCCUGGCCUGGAAGAGAGGCCAAAUGUCUAAUCAGCAGGCCUGGAACACCGCCGGUGCCAAGAAAGAGCCAAGCAGCCACUCCCUGGGGCUGGCUGCAGAUGAGGCCCUUGUGGUUUCCCCACUCACUGACUACGGGGAGGAGGGUGUGCAAGGACUUUGUCUGGGAAGAAUCUUUGCAUCUGUAGCUCAACAGGCUUCUCUCUCCAGGCCCCUGGGUUUCAAAAGACUGUGACUUCCACCUUGGUUUGCUCGGUCUGAUGAAGGAACUUUGAGCUGUGAGCUGCACUGUGAACUUUGCUGUGAGCUGCCCUGUGAUGGGAGAGGAGGCCUCCGCCUCACAGCCCUGGAGGACCUCAAUGCUGCCAACGUGUGACCAGAUGCAGAUCCUUCUCCAGUCAAGCCUGGACAUGACAUGACAGCAGCCCUGGGGACCUUGAUGCUGUGGCCUGUGCAAGACCCUGAGCCAGCCGCACCCAGAUCCCUCACCCACAGAAACUGCCAGAUUUUAAGUCUUCUGCUUGUAAGCCACUCUUUUUGCCAUAGUUUGUGUGCAGCAAUAGAUAACUGCUCUAGAGUU
rnacentral:lncRNA from 1 species